CGGCAACAGCUCAAAUUUGAAAUCUGGCCCUCUUUGGGGGUCCGAGUUGUAAUUUGCAGAGGGUGCUUUGGCAUCGGCGGCGGUCUAAGUUCCUUGGAACAGAAUGUCAGAGAGGGUGAGAAUCCCGUCUUGGACCGGCGUAGGGCCCGUGUAAAACUCCUUCGAC
rnacentral:rRNA from 1 species